UGACUGUAGCAAUACAGUUGAUGGCGACCGGCAAACGGGUGCGGAACACGUACACAACCUUCCUUCGAGUGGGGAAUAGCCCGGGGAAACCCGGAUUAAUACCCCGUAACAUAAUGAAGUGGCAUCACUUUAUUAUUAUAGCUCCGGCGCUUGAAGAUGGGUGUGCGACUGAUUAGGCAGUUGGCGGGGUAACGGCCCACCAAACCUACGAUCAGUAACUGGUGUGAGAGCACGACCAGUCACACGGGCACUGAGACACGGGCCCGACUCCUACGGGAGGCAGCAGUAAGGAAUAUUGGUCAAUGGACGCAAGUCUGAACCAGCCAUGCCGCGUGGAGGAUGAAGGUCCUCUGGAUUGUAAACUUCUUUUAUCUGGGAAGAAACCCAUGAAUUCUUUUGUGGUUGACGGUACCAGAUGAAUAAGCACCGGCUAACUCCGUGCCAGCAGCCGCGGUAAUACGGAGGGUGCAAGCGUUAUCCGGAUUCACUGGGUUUAAAGGGUGCGUAGGUGGGCUGGUAAGUCAGUGGUGAAAUCUCCAGGCUUAACUUGGAAACUGCCAUUGAUACUAUUAGUCUUGAAUACCGUGGAGGUCAGCGGAAUAUGUCAUGUAGCGGUGAAAUGCUUAGAUAUGACAUAGAACACCAAUUGCGAAGGCAGCUGGCUACACGAAUAUUGACACUGAUGCACGAAAGCGUGGGGAUCAAACAGGAUUAGAUACCCUGGUAGUCCACGCCCUAAACGAUGGAUACUCGACAUACGCGAUAUACUGUGUGUGUCUGAGCGAAAGCAUUAAGUAU
rnacentral:rRNA from 1 species